rnacentral:lncRNA from 1 species
UUAUUAGAACCAUAAUAUUAAAUUCACACCCAACUUCCCUAAUUUUAUAUAAAAGUUCUUAUAUACUGAUACCUAAAUAGCCCCAAAUAAUCUUAUGAAAUUCAACUAUUAUAUUAUUUGUUAUAUAUUACUUACAAUGUACCUGCAAUUACUUACAUUACUAUAUCAUCAAAACCUGCUAAAAGAUCAAAACCCAGCUUAAAAGAAUACAUUACUGCAGUCACAAACCAAACUAUAAGCUCUCCCAUCUAUUAACACUGCUCUCUACAUAAAUGGUCCUUAGGUGAAAUUUCAUUUAAUAUUUUAGAAAAAAACCUUAAUAAUACACUUAUCUACUGUUUUAAAGAACAUUUUAAUAUCAUAAAAUACAUAAAACAAUUAUAUGAAUGCCAAUGCUGGCUUAAUCAUUGGCCCAUUAAGGAAUUCUCUUAUUUACAAAAUAUUUAGUAAACAUACACAUACUUCUCUAACUACCAAUAUUGUAUAUCUAAUCCAAUAUAACUAUGUUGAUUGGGGAGAUCCCCAACAUAGUUAUAUUGGAUUAACAUAGUUCUCAAUAUAGUUCUAGUUCCUGCUCCUUCCCCAUUUUUCCUUUAAGGUUCAAACCUUGUAGUUACCCAUACCAUAUCCAAUUUAUUCUCACUCCUGCUACAUCCAUGGCCAAAUGUAGUCUCAAUGUAACAUUAGCAUGUCUCAUGUUUCUAGUUCCAACCUCCAAAUCCCUAAUUUUCAACUGCAAUUUUUAAUAUAGUUAUAAGCCUUAUUUUAUGUUCAACUGUGGCGGUCACUAUUUCCCGAAGAAAAGUUGUCGUGACCUUCAACCUUGGCGCGGACGGAUACAAAAAAGGGCCCAAGUAGUGCGAAGGAGAAAAAAGGAAGAACAGUUUUUUCUUUGUCUUUGGCCGGAGGCGGUCGACCUAGAAACGUGCUGGGAGACGAGUAAUUAUCAAGGCCUAAACGACUCAGCCGCCUGGAGACAUG